rnacentral:rRNA from 1 species
GGAUCAUUAAAGAGUUUAAUAAAACUCCUAAACCCCUGUGAACUUACUGGUGUUUGGCUCGCCAGAUAUAGUCUGGUCCGUAAGCAAAUCGACUGCCUGCCUGUGUAACAGGCAGGUAAGCUUUUGUCGCGGGGUCCCGGAUCAACCCGGGCUAGAUAGCCACUUAACUAUAUACUUUUUAUAAAAUCUGUGAACUUACUAGGUUGGAUUCUCGCCAGAGAUAGUCUGGUUUCUGCUUCGCGGAUCGCCUACCCGUGACACCUGUCACAGGCAGGUAUGCUUCUGCCGCGGGUCCGUAAGUAAAUCAUCUGUUUCGCAAGGGACGGCGAUUUACCUGUGGAAGAGGUCCGCUAACUAUAUUCUUAGUAUAGUUUGUUCACUAGAUCAAACAUUCUGAAUAAAAACUUAAACUAGUUAAAACUUUCAACAACGGAUCUCUUGGUUCUGGCAUCGAUGAAGAACGCAGCGAAAUGCGAUAAGUAAUGUGAAUUGCAGAAUUCAGUGAAUCAUCGAAUCUUUGAACGCACAUUGCGCCCAUUAGUAUUCUAGUGGGCAUGCCUGUUCGAGCGUCAUUUCAACCCUUAAGCCCCUGUUGCUUAGCGUUGGGAGCCUACAGCCUGCUGUAGCUCCUUAAAGGUAGUGGCGGAGUCGGUUCACACUCUAGACGUAGUAAAAUCUUUAUCUCGCCUAUGGAUGAGCCGGCGCCUUGCCGUAAAACCCCUAAUCUUUCACAAGGUUGACCUCGGAUCAGGUAGGAAUACCCGCUGAACUUAAGCAUAUCAAUAAGCGGAGGAAAAGAAACCAACAGGGAUUGCCCUAGUAACGGCGAGUGAAGCGGCAACAGCUCAAAUUUGAAAUCUGGCCUUCGGGUCCGAGUUGUAAUUUGCAGAGGAUGCUUUGGGCGCGGUGCCUUCCGAGUUCCCUGGAACGGGACGCCUUAGAGGGUGAGAGCCCCGUACGGUUGGACACCAAGCCUCUGUAAAGCUCCUUCGACGAGUCGAGUAGUUUGGGAAUGCUGCUCUAAAUGGGAGGUAAAUUUCUUCUAAAGCUAAAUAUUGGCCAGAGACCGAUAGCGCACAAGUAGAGUGAUCGAAAGAUGAAAAGCACUUUGAAAAGAGGGUUAAAUAGCACGUGAAAUUGUUGAAAGGGAAGCGUUUGCGACCAGACCUUUUCCCAGCGGAUCAUCCGGUGUUCUCACCGGUGCACUUCGCUGGGUUGAGGCCAGCAUCGGUUUCCGCAGGGGGAUAAAAGCCCGGGGAACGUAGCUCCCUCGGGAGUGUUAUAGCCCCUCGCAUAAUACCCUUGCGGGGACCGAGGACCGCGCU